UGGGGAAUCUUCCGCAAUGGACGAAAGUCUGACGGAGCAACGCCGCGUGUAUGAUGAAGGUCUUCGGAUUGUAAAGUACUGUCAUUGGGGAAGAACGGUUUUCUUGAAAAGAUUGAGAAGACAUGACGGUACCCAAGGAGGAAGCCCCGGCUAACUACGUGCCAGCAGCCGCGGUAAUACGUAGGGGGCAAGCGUUGUCCGGAAUUAUUGGGCGUAAAGGGCGCGUAGGCGGGCCUUUAAGUCCGGUGUGAAAGAUCAGGGCUCAACCCUGAGAGUGCAUCGGAAACUGGAGGCCUUGAGGACAGGAGAGGAAAGUGGAAUUCCACGUGUAGCGGUGAAAUGCGUAGAUAUGUGGAGGAACACCAGUGGCGAAGGCGACUUUCUGGACUGUAACUGACGCUGAGGCGCGAAAGCGUGGGGAGCAAACAGGAUUAGGAUACCCUGGUAGUCCACGCCGUAAACGAUGAGUGCUAGGUGUAGAGGGUAUCGACCCCUUCUGUGUCGCAGUUAACACAAUAAGCACUCCGCCUGGGGAGUACGGUCGCAAGAUU
rnacentral:rRNA from 1 species